rnacentral:rRNA from 1 species
UACGUAGGGUGCAAGCGUUAAUCGGAAUUACUGGGCGUAAAGCGUGCGCAGGCGGUUUUGUACGUCUGUCGUGAAAUCCCCGGGCUUAACCUGGGAAUGGCGAUGGAGACUGCAAGGCUAGAGUUUGGCAGAGGGGGGUAGAAUUCCACGUGUAGCAGUGAAAUGCGUAGAGAUGUGGAGGAACACCGAUGGCGAAGGCAGCCCCCUGGGUCAAAACUGACGCUCAUGCACGAAAGCGUGGGGAGCAAACAGG